UACGAAGGGGGCUAGCGUUGCUCGGAGUCACUGGGCGUAAAGGGCGCGUAGGCGGACUCUUAAGUCGGGGGUGAAAGCCCAGGGCUCAACCCUGGAAUUGCCUUCGAUACUGAGAGUCUUGAGUUCGGAAGAGGUUGGUGGAAUUGAGAGUGUAGAGGUGAAAUUCGUAGAUAUUCGCAAGAACACCAGUGGCGAAGGCGGCCAACUGGUCCGAUACUGACGCUGAGGCGCGAAAGCGGGGGGAGCAAACAGG
rnacentral:rRNA from 1 species